CAGUUAAAAAGCUCGUAGUUGGAUUUCGGAGUGGGCCAGUUGGUCCGCCGCAAGGUGUGUUACUGACUGGUCUGCUCUUCUUCGCAAAGACUGCGUGUGCUCUUUGUUGAGUGUGCGUAGGAUUUACGACGUUUACUUCGAAAAAAUUAGAGUGUUCAAAGCAGGCUAUUGCUUGAAUACAUGAGCGUGGAAUAAUGGAAUAGGACUUUGGUCCCAUUUUGUUGGUUUCUAGGACCGAAGUAAUGAUUAAGAGGGACAAUUGGGGGCAUCCGUAUUUCGUUGUCAGAGGUGAAAUUCUUGGAUUUACGAAAGACGAACCAACUGCGAAAGCCUUGC
rnacentral:rRNA from 1 species